UACGUAGGGUGCGAGCGUUAAUCGGAAUUACUGGGCGUAAAGCGUGCGCCGGCGGUUGUGUAAGACAGGUGUGAAAUCCCCGGGCUUAACCUGGGAACUGCGCUUGUGACUGCACGACUGGAGUGUGGCAGAGGGGGGUGGAAUUCCACGUGUAGCAGUGAAAUGCGUAGAGAUGUGGAGGAACACCGAUGGCGAAGUCUGCCCCCUGGGUUAACACUGACGCUCAUGCACGAAAUCGUGGGUAGCAAACAGG
rnacentral:rRNA from 1 species